rnacentral:rRNA from 1 species
GACGAACGCUGGCGGCGUGCCUAACACAUGCAAGUCGAGCGAAGUGAGUACUACGGUACGAACUUAGCGGCGGACGGGUGAGUAACGCGCGGACAAUCUACCCUGUAGACUGGGAUAACACCUCGAAAGGCGUGCUAAUACCGGAUAAUGUCGAGAAGAGGCAUCGCUUUUCGAACAAAGGCGAGAAUCCGCUAUAGGAGGAGUCCGCAUCCCAUUAGCUAGUUGGUGAGGGUAACGGCCCACCAAGGCGACGAUAGGUAGCCGGCCUGAGAGGGUGAACGGCCACACUGGAACUGAGACACGGCCCAGACUCCUACGGGAGGCAGCAGCAAGGGAUUUUCCGCAAUGGGCGCAAGCCUGACGGAGCAACGCCGCGUGGAGGACGACGGCCUUCGGGUUGUAAACUCCUUUUCGAAGGGACGAUUGUGACGGUACCUUCGGAAUAAGCCCCGGCUAACUCCGUGCCAGCCGCCGCUGUAAGAC